rnacentral:lncRNA from 1 species
GGGGCAGCAACCCAACAACCGAUUAUCCGAUUCAUCUGAAAAUUCCAGGGCAGAUAGAUCGUGAACUGAUCAACAAUUUUACUUCCUGUCAGAUUUGCUCUUAAUGCUUUGGUUUUUGAGUUAUAAGCCAAAAACUGCAUUUUACCCCAUGUUCUAUUUUUAGCCAUGGCGGCCAUCUUGGUUUGUUGGCCGAGUUACCGGACACAUUUUUUUUAACUAGAUACCCCAAUGAUGAUUAUGGCUAAGUUUGGUUAAAUUUGGCCCAGUAGUUUCAGAGGAGAAGAUUUUUCUAAAAGAUUACUAAGAUUUACGAAAAAUGGUUAAAAAUUGACUAUAAAGGGCAAUAACUCCUAAAGUGGACAA